rnacentral:lncRNA from 1 species
GCAGUCCCCGGAUCCUAGCCCUCAGCUGCAGACGUUCCAAGAGAACUAAGGACCAUGAGGAUGGUGGCAGCCAAAAGACAGUGGAAGCAGGCCAAGGUGGUGGGGCUGAGGAAAGGCUACAGCGACAAGAGAAUCGCAACUUUGGUCCUGUCAGGUGUGUGUGAGGAUUCACUACUGGGCAUGGAGCCCUUUCCUCUCUACAGUUUCUUUACCGUCCAGAUCUGCCAGCUGCAAAGGGCAGCCAUUUGCACUCAGACACACCAGUUGUUCCCUUUUUCAUGAGGGCAAGAAACAAUGAAACAGGAUUGCCUCAGGCAGACCAAGACUGACUACGGCUCGCAUACUCAAUCUCUCUCCCUCCUAUACCACAUUUUAUAUUAGUUUCACACAUUAUCUCAUUUGAUGGGGAAGAAGGAUUGAGGAACACAAAGGUCCAGACUCUUCCCUCUGUUCAAGACAAUUCUGAAGGGCCAUCCCGGCUUCAGAACUCCCCACGAGAUCAGCUGAGGCCUCUGUUGCAACUGCAUCAUAAUCAUAAUCCGACAUCUCCUUCUGCCAACCUUGUUUCACUCCCACCCUUAGAGGUGUUGUUCCUGGUAGCAUCUCCCAAUAAAAUUCUUGCGUAUGUUGAAGAACA